AUGUGUUCGAUGUUGUCGAAAUAAGGAUCUCUCUUCCAUUUCAUGUAAACGUCGACGUAGGUUCGUUUCUGAGUAAGGUUGGUGCAGGAGGAAGCUACGGUUUUGGCAUGGCGGCGAAUAGAGAGCAUUGUGGAACUAAUCGGAAAACCCUAAAACCCCAAUUAACGGGAACAUAGAAAUCGGACUAUCGGAGA